rnacentral:SRP_RNA from 1 species
UGUUAGUCCUCUCGCAACAAUACUCUGUAAACCCCGCCAGGUCCGGAAGGAAGCAACGGUAGCAGACGUUUUGUGUGCCGGGAUACGGCUGGCACGG